rnacentral:rRNA from 1 species
AGAACGAACGCUGGCGGCAGGCUUAACACAUGCAAGUCGAGCGCCCAGCAAUGGGAGCGGCGGACGGGUGCGUAACACGUGGGAACAUGCCUUUCGGUACGGAACAACUGCGGGAAACUGCAGCUAAUGCCGUAUACGCCCUUACGGGGAAAGAUUUAUCGCCGAAAGAUUGGCCCGCGUCUGAUUAGCUAGUUGGUGAGGUAACGGCUCACCAAGGCUUCGAUCAGUAGCUGGUUUGAGAGAACGACCAGCCACACUGGGACUGAGACACGGCCCAGACUCCUACGGGAGGCAGCAGUGGGGAAUCUUGGACAAUGGGCGAAAGCCUGAUCCAGCCAUGCCGCGUGAGUGAUGAAGGCCUUCGGGUUGUAAACUCUUUUACCUGGGAAGAUAAUGACUGUACCAGGAGAAUAAGCCCGGCUAACUUCGCGCCAGCAGCCGC